CAGUCGAUCCCCUCUUUAUUUUCCUCUCUCGCAUUUCAGUCGGCCAGACCAGAUGAGCCAUCUCCGGCCACCACCCAAUGACACGCACCCCACCACGAGCUUCCUUGGCCCCCGAAACCCCCAACCCGUGAAGCUUGCCUCCCCACUCGCCGGCCUCCGUCGCGAUUGGCUCCCCGAAGUUCCGUCGCCGCUGUGAGUUUGGAGGAUUGUUCUGGCCUCCACCGUGGACGAUGAAGGCUCCUGCUGGCGACGACGAUGGGGAAGGCGACGGCGAAGGCUCCUGAGCUGGUGAAGUUCUCAGGCGUGGGUGGUGCUGCCAUUCUCUUCAAGUUGUCCAGACCACUUGUAUUCAACUCUUUGGAUGUGUUUAUUGACAACCAUCCAAUCUGCAAUAUAUACAUUUGUGACAGAGCCUGAUCUACAAGUAUGGAAUCUUCAUUCCUAUUUAGAACUUGGAAGUUGUUUGUAUGCAGGAAUUGGUACUGCUGUAUCUUUUUUUGUUCAAGCAUGGUGCAUACAACUAAGAGGUCCUGUCUUUGUUGCAAUGUUCAGCCCUCUAUGCACUGUUAUAACAGCCAUUAUAGCCUCUUUGUUUCUACAUGAGAAGUUAUAUGCUGGAAGGUUUCGUAUGAAGUUGUUUGGAGGCUUUGAUGUAUUCCAAUUAUUUGGCUUGGUGUAUUUUGAGAUUUGGGUUUCGUUGGCUUGGUGGCUGUGUGAUUUGGGAAUUAAAUUUUUGCUUGUUUAUCUUAAAAUUUUCUUGUAACUCUAGGAUAUUUUCUGGUUAGUUUCUGAUUUUAUCUUUUGGAUGUUUUUUGUCUUGAGCUGGAAAGUAGUGUAAGGAAACCAGGGCAUAUGGAUCUCUUGAACUAAUGGUUGAUGCUCUUCAAGUGUUUGAGAAAUUGAUGCAAAGAAACUACAGAAUAUGAUUUAAUGAAACUAUGAGUGAUUCUAGUUUUUGUGUGCUCAAAUUACUACUGCCUUUUGUUAUUAUUAUUGUUAGAUGAUUAAAUAUAAUAUAUAUUUAUAAUUAUAUAAAUCUUUCGUGGCCUCUCUUUAUUAUAUUGAGCUUUUUCUUAGUAUAUAACAUGGUAGCUACUUGUGUGUUAUACUGUAUAUAUAUGCUAUACUAUACAUAUGCAGGAGUGCUUAAAUGGAGAGUUUCUUCAAGUUGGUCUCAAGUUUGUUCCACUAGCUGGAUAUCACUGGUUUGAUGGAGAUGGGUAUAUAUAUUGACUUCAUUAUUCUAAAAACUUAUUUAAUGAGUAUAUAUAUUGACGUCUUCAACAAGAAGAAUACUUUGGAGCUCCCAAAUUCAUGAAGAUUGGAGAACUGAAAGGGCAUUUUGGAUUACUCGCGGUGAUCAUGCAAAUUCUGAGAGCAAAGCUCAAAGUAUUAGAUCUUUCAUAUGGAAAUGGAACCGGUAUAAUUAAGCACAACUCAACUACACAUCUGGUACUGAAAUAUCUGUCUUCAUGUGAAUGUAAUUUUAGAAAUUAACAAUUUUAUUAUUUUUAAGUGAGUUAUGUCGGCAAGGAUAGGAAUGUCCUAUGGAGGCUUUAUGAGUGAUCUUUUUCAUGCCAUAUUAGUAAUCUCUUUAAACUGUAUAUUAGUCAAAAUUUGAAACUUGUGUGCACAAAAUGUUAGUUGUUAUUCAUAUCUUGGCUUCCUUUGUAACUGUAUAACAUGAAUUUGUUGAGGAUUAUGUAAUUUUUCUUGAAAUGUACAACUAGUAGUAUUACUGUAAAACAA